UGGAGAACUUCUUCACUUUCCUGAAGAACAUUAAUGACGUGGACACUGCGUUAAGCUUUUACCACAUGGCUGGAGCAUCCCUCGAUAAAGUGACCAUGCAGCAAGUGGCCAGGACAGUGGCGAAAGUCGAGCUGUCGGACCACGUGUGUGACGUGGUGUUUGCACUCUUUGACUGCGACGGCAAUGGGGAGCUGAGCAAUAAGGAGUUUGUCUCCAUCAUGAAGCAGAGGCUGAUGAGAGGCCUGGAGAAGCCCAAGGACAUGGGCUUUACCCGUCUCAUGCAGGCCAUGUGGAAAUGUGCCCAAGAAACCGCCUGGGACUUUGCUCUACCCAAAUAGUACCCCACCUCCUGCACCUUAGCACCCCGCAAUCCUGGAGUGGCCUUCAUGCUGCUGAUGCUUCUGGGAGUAGUGCCCACAUCCCCAUCUUUCUGGAAGUGACCUCUGGCCUCAGCUGGCUGACCUCUCCAUCCUCCCCUGACCCAGUCAGUGUUCCGCUAGGCUCUGAAUCUGCAGUCAGAUCAAAGGUCUAAGACAGGAACAAGUCUUCAAAACAGAGACCAUAGCUCCCUUAACCAGUGCCCCGUGGGUAAAUGCGGGGAGCCCUCCCACACUGGCAGCCCCAGGAGGCAUCUCUGCAGUCUCUCACUGUGGAUUUAAGUAACACAAACGUCCCUGCCAUCUUCCUCCCACUGUUUUAAAGCUGCAAGUUUGGAAAUACUCUGGCAGGCAAAGGGAAGUCUGUGAUGAACGGUAAUGCAGAUGACCCUGGUACCCUGAUCUGGCAGGGCACCUGGUCAGGGGAAGGGUCUGCGUCAGACACCAGCGGCACCAGGAAGGCUCUUUGCCACCAGCACAGCUCCCGAUUCAAAGUCGCUGCUUUGAGCGGCUCUCCAGAACCUCCUGCUCUUUUUUUUUUUCCUCCCGGGCUCCCUGCGAUGCCUCCUCUGGGACUCUGCUUCACUAGAGCCAGGGCUGAGCCCCUGUUCCUUGUGUCUUGUCCCCUCUCUAUAGACCUGCAGAGCGCAGCUCAGAGCCUGUCUGCCCUCUGUCUAAUACACUCGUAAAUAUCACUUUAAUUAUAGCACUUUGCAGGAAAUACCCC
rnacentral:lncRNA from 1 species